rnacentral:lncRNA from 1 species
AGAAAAUGUUCCGUGUGCUUCAAUUACUUUCAUAAAUUAUCAAUAAUUGGCUAAUGUGCGGUUAUCAGUGUCAGGGACAAGCGGACACGGCGGACAGCCAGUAUCCCCUUCUGCCAGGUGGGUCAGCGAAUGAUUUGAAAUUCAUAAGCUCAUUAAAUUUUCAGCAGACAGACAGCACAGUGAGGAGUCAGCAGUCGGCAGUCAGCAGUUUCCCGUGCUGCUCCCUGGAACGGGACAGUGACAGGGAUUGGGGCAGGGACAGGCACUGGGCAAAUACAAUUAAAAUGCCAUAAAGCAAAUUAGCCAAGACAAACUUUUCAUAUUUUGCCGCGAGCUGUGCAAAUUAGUGGGGGGCCAAGACAAGGGAUAGUGCUCGAACCAAGGACUACCUAGAAGAUGAUGACGAUGGGCAUGGGUAGGUAGGGUUGUAUGGGUGGAAGUCGAAUGGCAUGGGGGCUGUGCGCACACUAAAACACAUCCUGCGCCUUUGGUAAUUGCCGGGCGGCGCACUCGUGCUGGCAACUUCAGCAAAUUGUUGGCAAUUAUGAUUAUGUGGCACAAAGUAAAGUAAAACACACAGC